rnacentral:ncRNA from 1 species
CAAAGAAAAAAUUGGCAGAUUGACAGCUCUUUCUUGAUUCUGUGGGUGGUAUGAUACAGCCAUCCUUAUUUGGAAGGAGGAUUUGUAUGGUUAAUUCCAUGAAGGAAUGAGAAUCUGACUUCUUAAUUUUUUUUACCAUCCUAGAAAUGCCAGAAUCCCGAUGCCUUUUGAAGAACAAAUGAUUUUCAGCCAUCUGUGUAUGAGCAGUGACUGAUCUUGGUUGGUCU